UGUGUGGAAGAAAGGCAAGCCCUGUU
rnacentral:piRNA from 2 species